rnacentral:tRNA from 1 species
GGGGUGUAGCUCAAAUGGCGAGAGCAUCUGGUUUGCAAUCAGAGGGCUGUAGGUUCGAGUCCUAUCAUCUCC